UACGGGGGGGGUAAGCGUUGUUCGGAAUUACUGGGCGUAAAGGGCGCGUAGGCGGCCUUCUAAGUCGAACGUGAAAUCCCCGGGCUCAACCCGGGAACUGCGUCCGAUACUGGGAGGCUUGAAUCCGGGAGAGGGAUGUGGAAUUCCAGGUGUAGCGGUGAAAUGCGUAGAUAUCUGGAGGAACACCGGUGGCGAAGGCGGCAUCCUGGACCGGUAUUGACGCUGAGGCGCGAAAGCCAGGGGAGCAAACGGG
rnacentral:rRNA from 1 species